rnacentral:rRNA from 1 species
UACGGAGGGUGCAAGCGUUAAUCGGAAUUACUGGGCGUAAAGCGCACGUAGGUGGUUUGUUAAGCUAGAUGUGAAAGCCCCGGGCUCAACCUGGGAAUUGCAUUUAGAACUGGCAAGCUAGAGUAGGGUAGAGGGGUGUGGAAUUCCAGGUGUAGCGGUGAAAUGCGUAGAUAUCUGGAGGAACAUCAGUGGCGAAGGCGGCCAUCUGGGACAACACUGACGCUGAAGCACGAAAGCGUGGGGAGCAAACAGG